AAAUUGAAGAGUUUGAUCAUGGCUCAGAUUGAACGCUGGCGGCAGGCCUAACACAUGCAAGUCGAACGGUAACAGGAAACAGCUUGCUGUUUCGCUGACGAGUGGCGGACGGGUGAGUAAUGUCUGGGAAACUGCCCGAUGGAGGGGGAUAACUACUGGAAACGGUAGCUAAUACCGCAUAACGUCGCAAGACCAAAGAGGGGGACCUUCGGGCCUCUUGCCAUCGGAUGUGCCCAGAUGGGAUUAGCUAGUAGGUGGGGUAACGGCUCAC
rnacentral:rRNA from 1 species